rnacentral:rRNA from 1 species
GACGAACCGUGCGAACGUUGUUCGGAAUCACUGGGCUUAAAGGGCGCGUGGGCGGCCUGCCAAGUCAGGGGUGAAAGCCCCCAGCUCAACUGGGGAAGUGCCUUUGAUACUGGCGGGCUCGAGCGAGGCAGGGGUCGUGGGAACUUCCGGUGGAGCGGUGAAAUGCGUUGAUAUCGGAAGGAACGCCGGUGGCGAAAGCGCACGACUGGUCCUCUUCUGACGCUGAGGCGCGAAAGCCAGGGGAGCAAACGGG